AACGAACGCUGGCGGCAGGCUUAACACAUGCAAGUCGAGCGCCCCGCAAGGGGAGCGGCAGACGGGUGAGUAACGCGUGGGAAUCUACCCAUCUCUACGGAAUAAUGCAUGGAAACGUGUGCUAAUACCGUAUACGUCCUUCGGGAGAAAGAUUUAUCGGAGAUGGAUGAGCCCGCGUUGGAUUAGCUAGUUGGUGGGGUAAAGGCCUACCAAGGCGACGAUCCAUAGCUGGUCUGAGAGGAUGAUCAGCCACACUGGGACUGAGACACGGCCCAGACUCCUACGGGAGGCAGCAGUGGGGAAUAUUGGACAAUGGGCGCAAGCCUGAUCCAGCCAUGCCGCGUGAGUGAUGAAGGCCCUAGGGUUGUAAAGCUCUUUCGCCGGUGAAGAUAAUGACGGUAACCGGAGAAGAAGCCCCGGCUAACUUCGUGCCAGCCGCCGCGGUAAUAC
rnacentral:rRNA from 1 species